rnacentral:rRNA from 1 species
ACACGACUACAUUAGAUACCCGCGUAGUCCCAGCUGUAAACUAUGUGCGUUAGGUGUGUCAGUGACCACGUGUCACUGAGGUGCCGAAGGGAAGCCGUGAAGCGAGCCACCUGGGAAGUACGGCCGCAAGGCUGAAACUUAAAGGAAUUGGCGGGGGAGCACAACAACGGGUGGAGCUUGCGGUUUAAUUGGAUUCAACGCCGGAAAUCUUACCGGGACCGACAGCAACAUGAAGGCCAAGCUGAAGACUUUGCCGGAUUAGCUG